UUCAUCGACGCUACGUAUUGCUUUACGCAAAUUUCUCCCUACUUUCGGAGCAGGAAGGAGGGGGAGCAGGAAAGAGGGGUAGCUUCUUUCAGGAUUCUACUGUCUCCAUCAAAUUGUCUGCUAGUCAAGUUUGGAUCUAGUCUCGAGUUACAUCCAUAGGUAUCUUAUAUACACUAGAUAGCGCAUCUCUUUAAGUAAAAUUGAAGCCAAGAAUAUUCCAGCGGUUACCCCCAUUUGAAUAGAUGGCGGCCAUGUUGGAGUUUCCCACUCACUAAUAAACGCUUAACAAACAACAAUAACUUUCAUCAUUUGAAUAGUUUGAAAAUGUAUUUGGAAUAGGUUUAACUUAAUGUUUAAGUUCCCUGUUUAAGAAAUAGAAAACAAACGAAUCUUCUCAUUUCAUGGGAAUAUUCUGAGUCUGCAAUCACGACUUCAAUUUUUGAAUUGCAGAAUAAUUAGAUGCACUAUCUCGUGUAUAUAAGAUAUCUAUGGUUACAUCUUCCCGCAAUGUUAAAUUGUUUGAUGAUAUUUGUUACUAGUUGGAAAUCUCAUCUUAUGUUUCGCUCGUAUAUAUUACUCGCUUACUCUCAGCCAUAUAUAUUUUAAUUACUAAAAAAUACUAUUGCACACAACGUUUUGUGAGCAAAAUAUGAACAGAAUAUUUAAAUAUAAUGUACAUGUAGCUUGCAUAACAAUACUAUAGUUCCAUGUUAUGUCCAUGCACACACAAAAUAUAUUUAUGCUUCAAAAGAGUGUAUAGUGUGGUAUAGACCCAUCAGAUCAUACGUUCACCAUACGGACACACGUCUUCAAUACACCC